AAAUUAUAAGUGGCUCUAAAAACUGUUAAAUCUUUUUGCAAUUCCAUGCAGAUUCGUUUGAUGACUAAGUCUGAGCUGAAUUCACUUGAGACUAUUUUGACUCUUAGUCUUGUUUGAGGUGUAUCUUCAUGCAUUUCACUGCAGAGGAGUUAAUAUGUUUGGUUACAGAGAGCUACUCAAGACCCUUCUUAGAUAGUUAACACACACACACAUACACACACACACACACACUCACACCUCAUCUACAUAUGAUAUGUAAAUUAUAUUACCUGAUAUGGUUUGGCUAUAUCCCCAUCCAAAUCUCAUCUUGAUUUUUAGUUCCCAUAAUCCCCACGUGUCAUGAGAGUGACCUAGUGGGAGGUAAUUGAAUCAUGGGGGUGGUUGCCCCUAUGCUGCUGUUCUCAUGAUAGUGAAUAAGGUCUCAUGAUAGCUGGUGGUUUUAUAAGGGGCUGUUCCCCGUUUUGCUGUGCACUUCUUGCUGCCAACAUGUGAAGAAAGACGUGUUUGCUUCCCCUUCCACCAUGAUUGUAAAAUCAACAAGGAAGGUGAUGAGCACAGCAGUGUGAAGCAAUGACAAGGAUGCCCUAAGCUCUAUGAAACUGCUAGAUAAACAUCUACCAGGUUGAUAUCAUAUCACUCAGAAGCAAAAUUUAUUCCUCAGGUCUCUUCACAGCGUGGCGCCUGGGUUCCAAGGGGAAUCAUCCCAAGAGAGAACCAGGGAGAAACUAUCCACCUGCAAGAUCUAACAUCAGAAGUCAUAUGGAACACCAUUCCCUACUCUUAGCUAAGGAAGUCACAGAGAUCUGACUCCCUUCGUUCAAGGGAGGGAACCAUAGACUCUACUUGUGGGACUGGCUGGGUUCUGAUAGAAAACGGACAUAUGACUUCAGCCAUUUUUGGAAAUUAUACUGUGCCACACCUUAACGUGUCAGAAGACGAGGACACUGUCAUAACUUUCAGUCAAUUGCUCAAACCAAAUAUCAAAGUAUUAUCCUGAAUAUGCCUCCUUUUAUUUUACACUCACAUCUGUUUAAUCAGAAAAUCCCAUCAACUCAAAACAUACCACAAACAUGUGUUUGUCUUCCUCAUGUUUAGGACAACCAUCCUCAUCCUAGGUGCCAUCCUCUCUCUCCUAGUUGGCUUCAGGAACCUCCUAAUUGAUCACCAUCUUCUCUGUUCUUUUGUCCCUACACUCCAUUCUCCAUAUGACAAUUAGGAUAAUCAUUUUAAAGCAUAACUCAGAUGAUAGCCUUCCCUGCUUAACAAAACCUCCAAUGACAAAGUGGAUCACAGCCUAGUGAUAAAGUGGAGUAAUUCACCAGAAAGAUAUAAAAAUUCUAAAUGUCAAUGAAUCUAAUAUCAUAAGGACAAAAUAUGCAAAGCAAAAACUGACAAAAUUGAUUUGAUAAUUCCACACUCAUAAAUGGAGACUUUUUUCAUAACCUUCUCAGAAAUUGAUAGAUCAGGCAGAGGAAGAAUGUUAAUGCCGUGUAUCUUAAUGGAUUACUGGUGGGCUGAGGCACUCCUCCCCUCAGCCCAUGGUCUGUCUCUCGCCUUAAGCAGUCUCAUCUGAAUUAUUAUGUUUAUGCAUAUUUUAUGCAUAUUGAAAAAGAUUGGGAAUCACUGCCUUAGCCUACCUCUCAAACAAUAAGGCAUACCAGAAUGUUCAUUGUGGCAGUGUUUUGUGAUAGUAAACAUUUUGAAAAAAAAAUCAAAAUACUGAUUUGCAAUAGAAUGGAAAACAAAAUUGUUGCAUUACAUACAACAAAAUCAAUAUGGAUACAUCUCACAA